rnacentral:rRNA from 1 species
CCUGAUCCAGCCAUGCCGCGUGCAGGAAGACGGUCCUAUGGAUUGUAAACUGCUUUUAUACGGGAAGAACCUGGGGCACGUGUGCCCUUCUGACGGUACCGUAAGAAUAAGGAUCGGCUAACUCCGUGCCAGCAGCCGCGGUAAUACGGAGGAUCCAAGCGUUAUCCGGAAUCAUUGGGUUUAAAGGGUCCGUAGGCGGGCCAUUAAGUCAGGGGUGAAAGUUUGCGGCUCAACCGUAAAAUUGCCCUUGAUACUGGUGGUCUUGAGUUAUAGUGAAGUGGCUAGAAUAUGUAGUGUAGCGGUGAAAUGCAUAGAUAUUACAUAGAAUACCGAUUGCGAAGGCAGGUCACUAACUAUACACUGACGCUGAUGGACGAAAGCGUGGGGAGCGAACAGGAUUAGAUACCCUGGUAGUCCACGCCGUAAACGAUGGAUACUAGCUGUUCGGGCGCAAGCCUGAGCGGCCAAGCGAAAGUGAUAAGUAUCCCACCUGGGGAGUACGUUCGCAAGAAUGAAACUCAAAGGAAUUGACGGGGGCCCGCACAAGCGGUGGAGCAUGUGGUUUAAUUCGAUGAUACGCGAGGAACCUUACCAGGGCUUAAAUGUAGUCUGACAGCUUUAGAGAUAGAGUUUUCUUCGGACAGAUUACAAGGUGCUGCAUGGUUGUCGUCAGCUCGUGCCGUGAGGUGUCAGGUUAAGUCCUAUAACGAGCGCAACCCCUGCCGUUAGUUGCCA